GGUCCCGUGGCUCAAUGGUUAGAGCAUUGGACUUCUGAUCAACGGGUUGCGGGUUCGAUCCUCAGGGACUG
rnacentral:tRNA from 1 species